GUAGGUGGCAAGCGUUGUCCGGAAUUAUUGGGCGUAAAGCGCGCGCAGGCGGUUCGUUAAGUCUGAUGUGAAAGCCCACGGCUCAACCGUGGAGGGUCAUUGGAAACUGGAGAACUUGAGUACAGAAGAGGAAAGCGGAAUUCCACGUGUAGCGGUGAAAUGCGUAGAGAUGUGGAGGAACACCAGUGGCGAAGGCGGCUCUCUGGUCUGUAACUGACGCUGAGGCGCGAAAGCGUGGGGAGCAAACAGGAUUAGAUACCCUGGUAGUCCACGCCGUAAACGAUGAGUGCUAAGUGUUAGGGGGUUUCCGCCCCCCUUAGUGCUGCAGCUAACGCAUUAAGCACUCCGCCUGGGAGUACGGCCGCAAGGCUG
rnacentral:rRNA from 1 species